AACGAACGCUGGCGGCAUGCCUAACACAUGCAAGUCGAACGAGACCUUCGGGUCUAGUGGCGCACGGGUGCGUAACGCGUGGGAAUCUGCCCUUGGGUUCGGAAUAACAGUUAGAAAUGACUGCUAAUACCGGAUAAUGUCUUCGGACCAAAGAUUUAUCGCCCAGGGAUGAGCCCGCGUAGGAUUAGCUAGUUGGUGAGGUAAAGGCUCACCAAGGCGACGAUCCUUAGCUGGUCUGAGAGGAUGAUCAGCCACACUGGGACUGAGACACGGCCCAGACUCCUACGGAGGCAGCAGUGGGGG
rnacentral:rRNA from 1 species